rnacentral:rRNA from 1 species
UACGUAGGGUGCAAGCGUUGUCCGGAAUUAUUGGGCGUAAAGAGCUCGUAGGCGGUCUGUCGCGUCGGCUGUGAAAACUCGGGGCUCAACCCCGGGCCUGCAGUCGAUACGGGCAGACUAGAGUGCGGUAGGGGAGACUGGAAUUCCUGGUGUAGCGGUGAAAUGCGCAGAUAUCAGGAGGAACACCGGUGGCGAAGGCGGGGUCUCUGGGCCGUAACUGACGCUGAGGAGCGAAAGCGUGGGGAGCGAACAGG